AAAAGAUGGAUACAACACAAACCCAUAAAAAACUAACAAAGACACGAAGAAAAAAGAUAUCGAGAGGCAGUAGAGUAAAACAGAACUUCAGUAGAGGAGAGCUCCACCUUGCGCUCAAAGACGAGCUUACCGAAAUAGAACUCAUCAACAAUUAACACAAAAUUAGCGGAGCAGCGAGAUAGACUAGACGCACACGAACAUCACCAAACAUAUAAACUGAAUCGAGAGAGGUUAGAAUCCUUAACCGUCGCUGUAAACAUCCUUCAAUCCCAACUAAGUCUCUCCAUUGGACCUUGAGUGUGCUCUCCCCGCGCCUCAUACGCACCAUCACCCCACGGCAAAGCCUAUAAAGGUUUCCCGGAAACGUCUUAUUCACACAGCCGGUAACUGGAUAAUAACCACUCCAAAUCCAUGACAAUCACGAUCAAGACGGCGACAAUCGACCCACGAUGAAGCAAUCGCUCUGAUAUACAUCUAUCUCCUUCCAAGCCAAACACGCACUUCCUCUGAGAACCAGAAGAUGUUUCUACCUCCACCGAAGACUAGAGCCACCACUGGUCAAGCCACAUCCCAAACCCCAUAAGAACUAACAAAGCAAAACCCUAACCGAAGAACCGCAAACAAGAGAUUCUUCAAGCAAUCAGAAAUUGUAUCUCUUCACCAGUGUCGGACCCACACCACCAUCCUAAAACCACUACAAAGACCACUACAAAGCCCAGGCCUUAUGAAUCUCCAACCCGAAUCAAGCAAAAAGGAUCUGAACCACGAACCAGCAGAGACCUCCGCUCUCACCAACCACACGGGCUGCAACCACCUACCACCGUAAGGAUCCGCAUAAGACCCCGACAAAGCAAGAGGUGUCCGAGUCGUUCCCUUCUACUUUACCCCGAGCCGCAGUUAAUACGGAUUAAACACCAGAUCUACAAAA
rnacentral:lncRNA from 1 species